rnacentral:rRNA from 1 species
AGUGAACGCUGGCGGUAGGCCUAACACAUGCAAGUCGAACGGCGGCACAGUAAGAGCUUGCUCUUACGGGUGGCGAGUGGCGGACGGGUGAGGAAUACAUCGGAAUCUACUUUUUCGUGGGGGAUAACGUAGGGAAACUUACGCUAAUACCGCAUACGACCUACGGGUGAAAGCAGGGGAUCUUCGGACCUUGCGCGAUUGAAUGAGCCGAUGUCGGAUUAGCUAGUUGGCGGGGUAAAGGCCCACCAAGGCGACGAUCCGUAGCUGGUCUGAGAGGAUGAUCAGCCACACUGGAACUGAGACACGGUCCAGACUCCUACGGGAGGCAGCAGUGGGGAAUAUGGGAAAAGGGGCGCAAGCCUGAUCCAGCCAUACCGCGUGGGUGAAGAAGGCCUUCGGGUUGUAAAGCCCUUUUGUUGGGAAAGAAAAGCAGCAGGUUAAUACCCCGCUGUUCUGACGGGACCCAAAGAAUAAGCACCGGCUAACUGCGU